GCACAAGCAGCGGAGCGUGUGGUUAAUUCGAUGCUACACGAAGAACCUUACCAGGGCUUGACAUCCCUUGAAGCAGCUAGAGAUAGCUGUGUCCUUCGGGACAAGGAGACAGGUGGUGCAUGGUUGUCGUCAGCUCGUGUCGUGAGAUGUUGGGUUAAGUCCCGCAACGAGCGCAACCCUUAUCUUUAGUUACCAUCAUUCAGUUGGGGACUCUAAAGACACUGCCCCGGUCAACGGGGAGGAAGGUGGGGAUGACGUCAAGUCCUCAUGGCCCUUAUGUCCAGGGCUACACACGUGCUACAAUGGGCAGUACAAAGGGUAGCAAGCCUGCGAAGGUGAGCCAAUCCCAAAAAGCUGUUCGUAGUUCGGAUUGGAGUCUGCAACUCGACUCCAUGAAGCUGGAAUCGCUAGUAAUCGCGGAUCAGCAUGCCGCGGUGAAUACGUUCCCGGGCCUU
rnacentral:rRNA from 1 species